UAUGUACAUGUAGAUUCAUGAAUGUGAAUAUGAAUUUUGUUGUAACGGUUAUCAUGACCUUUAUUGUGUCAUUCUUAUCACAAAUCAUUCAUGCAUCUUCUACUGUAUUACACGGGACAUCAACGAACAUUACUAAAGGACAAUGCGAGUAAGUAAAUGUAAUGAUAUAACCCUCAAUAUUAACUUUAUUUUGCUCUAGCCUUAAUUCUAUUCAAGUCAAAAGUCAAUGGUUUUGUUGAUAUAAAACCAAAAUCAUACACAAAUGUAAAGACAAGUUGAAUAUAUAUACAACAAAACUAUAUUUAAAGUGGAUAUCAAAAAUGUAUUUUUUCCAAAAAAAACAACAUUUUAAUGUGUUUUAUCUGGGAUAAUUAAUCUUCAACAUCUGAAAACUUUUAGUCUGCCCUUCAUCGAAAUAUUUUAUAAAGAAAAAAAAGAUUAAACAGUAACUUACUAUUAAAAAGGUCACUUGAGUCAUUUGUUGAACGUUAAUAUUCCACAAAUGAUUUAAAAUAAGAAUAAGACUUAGUUAGUUAUUUAAUAAGGAGUUCUAAAGAUCAAAACAAAAUGAAGAUAGAUUGGUAGUGUAUCUGACCAGAUUAAAUUUAUAAAUAAUGUUUCAGGGCGAUAAACAGUAUAUGAUUUCCAUUUGAGAAUUUAUGACAAAAAUAUAUUGUUCCUGUGAGGAGUAAAAAAAAAAUAAAUAAAAUACCCACACACACACUUUCAGAAAAAAUGAGUGAGUGGUGCAUGUUCAUGAAUUCGGGAAUAUAGUUUUGCUGCUAUGCAUUUUUUUCAAGUGAAGUUUUAAGCAGUAAAGUUCCAGUUUCGUGUGCAUCAAACUAUAAUAUUUUCACGGAAAUAAAUCAUCUUAGAUGUUUCCAAGGCGAAUAAAUCAGAUGAAUUAAUUUUAACUCUUUCAACACUCUAGCGUUCUAGUAAACAAAAUUACUGCAACAAGUCAUUUUUUGUACAAAAAUCCACUACAAAACAGAUAUUUAUUGUGUAACCAGUUUCACUGAUGUAUACAAUAAAGCUGAAAUAUAAACAUUUCAGAACUGAAACUGGUGAAUUGCGUUGUUGUUCUAUGUAUUACUUACUACAUGGAAGUUGUCAAG
rnacentral:lncRNA from 1 species